rnacentral:rRNA from 1 species
UACGUAGGGGGCAAGCGUUAUCCGGAUUUACUGGGUGUAAAGGGAGCGUAGACGGAGCAGCAAGUCUGAUGUGAAAGGCGGGGGCUCAACCCCUGGACUGCAUUGGAAACUGCUGAUCUUGAGUACCGGAGAGGUAAGCGGAAUUCCUAGUGUAGCGGUGAAAUGCGUAGAUAUUAGGAGGAACACCAGUGGCGAAGGCGGCUUACUGGACGGUAACUGACGUUGAGGCUCGAAAGCGUGGGGAGCAAACAGG